AGUUAAAUAAACUACUCAGCAUUUUGUUCACAUACCCCCUUUUAUCACCUUGUGUACCUCAGUUUGAGAACCACUGGUCUAAAACAACACUGGACCUCACUGACUUUCAUUGUGUGAACAACAACAACAAAAAGCACAAGAAAAGUAGUUUAACAUACAAACGAUUGCACACUUCACCUUGAAGCCAAUGUGCAUUAAUCUAAAGCCCUACGGUGUGAGUGAGAGGGAGAAACAGAAAGAUGCUCUUUGUGUGAACUGAAGACACCUGGCUUAACCCAGAUGUUCUCCAGCAGAACGUGCAUGAGAUAAAAACCAUUCCAACAUUCCAGAACCCUCCUGUCAUUUCCAAACACUGUGUCAUUCCUCCUGUCUCCAUGUGGUUCUGCUCAAUGCUGGAUACCUCACAGUUCCACAAGAGAUUUGCCAAAAUAUCUUUAGUCUGAAUUAAACAUGAGUCUGUUUAUUAUUCAUCAUAGACAGCCAAUAAAGAUAAAGAAGUUCAAGAGAGGUCUGAGAUACUGCUUACCCCUGUCUUACCUUUGUCUUAGAAGCCCCAUCUAUCCAGAAAUCCUGGUGUUUGCUGGAAGAAAUACCUCUGAUUCCAUCCAGAUUGAAGCUGCUUCACCUGUCUGGGAAAAGGUCACCUGACCACCCACCGGCAAGUCAAGACAGACCCCGCUGCCACACCAGAUGAUAGACAGUGACUCCUCUGUUGACUAACUGGGCCUACACAGGCCGUCCAAAUCCGGCCUGAAUUCCCAAGUCCUGCUGCGAUGUAAAUCAGGUCUUUUUUUGCCUGUCAUGGAUACGGGAUAAGCUCGGCCCGCAGCUGCAGAAGUUUUACACACUGCUCCGUGUCCUUCGGAUUGAACAUAUACUCCCUAUGAAUUUGAAUCUCACUUAAGAUGGCCGAAGUGCAUUUUGUGGGCGCUAUCGAACCCGCUCUCAGAGGAACAGCUGAACUGAAUCAUCCAAUGUGACGUGUUUAAAGAACGGCAACGUUCCCCCCCCUCACCUCCUGUAGGCAAAAGGCACACUUCUGCUUCAUCCUCCUCUCUAUCUGCCCAUCGAGAUCUGUAAUGGUCGGCCAGGAAACAAAGUGCACAUAACUCCACCACUUGUUGGACGAGGUGAAAGGAAGGGUGAUGGGGACAGGAGAUGCUAAGAUGGGAAAGGAAGCAGCUUAUUUGUUAUUGUAUCUCUCUCCAUCUCCGCAAGUGCAAAUUUAUACAUGUAUCAUUUCCCAGAAUGCACCAGGAGGCUUAUGGACAACAGCCCAGACAGCUUUUUGUAGGUUUAAACAGGACAUAAGUGAUAAGGACGCUGCUCUGACAGAGACUGAUGUUUGACAUACUGCACUGUGAUUGGACACUAGAAACACGAGCCAGGACAGAAAAUUCACACACACGCGGCUUCGAGACUGGUUGCUAGGGUGGAAGAUAUUCUCAUGGGAUGGACAGACUCAUUUGUUGCUGACAGGAUCUUUUUGUUAGAC